UACCAGAUUACAAGACUGGAUGAAGGGGGCUUCCCAUUGCAAAUAAAAGAGAUGACCAAAAGCUCUCGGUAACAAAAGAGAAUGAUUUCCAGACCCCAGAAGGAUUACAGACUGCAAAGAUUCCAGAGACACAAUGCAGCCUGACAAGAACAUCUGGAGGGUUAGCAAAACUCUCAAAGACAAGUAAGAGAAAAGGAAAGUUAAAUAUUUGCCCCCCACAAAAGAAGCCAAUCACAAAAGAUCAAGGAUGGAUCCGACCAGGACAAAUCCAUGACAACUGUUGGAUAAACAGGUACAUUUUGUGGGAGUGCAAGCCCAUUGUAUGUUCUGCAAAGCCUUGGGAAAACUCUCCAUGUAUUGUUUG
rnacentral:lncRNA from 1 species